rnacentral:tRNA from 1 species
GGAGAUACAGCUCAGUGAUAGAGCACAUGCUUAGCAUGCGUGAGGUCCUGGGUUCAAUCCCCCAUACCUCCA